CUUGGUGCUUAUAGAUAGUGGGGUACACCUGUUCCCAUCUCGAACACAGAAGUUAAGCCACUAAUCGCCGAUGAUACUGUUUAACGGUAAAGUAGGGCGGCGCCAAGA
rnacentral:rRNA from 1 species